rnacentral:tRNA from 1 species
GCCGCGCUAGCCCAAUUGGUAGAGGCGCCGGAUUUAGGUUCCGGAGGUUGGGGGUUCGAGUCCCUCGCGCGGUA